UGCCAGCCGCCGCGGUAAUACGGAGGGUGCAAGCGUUGUUCGGAAUCAUUGGGCGUAAAGUGCGUGUAGGCGGUUUCCUAAGUCUGAUGUGUAAGCCCGGGGCUCAACCCCGGAAGUGCAUUGGAUACUGAGAAACUAGAGGGCGAGAGGGGGAAGCGGAAUUCCUGGUGUAGGGGUGAAAUCCGUAGAUAUCAGGAGGAACACCGGAAGCGAAGGCGGCUUCCUGGCUCGCUACUGACGCUGAGACGCGAAAGCGUGGGGAGCAAACAGGAUUAGAUA
rnacentral:rRNA from 1 species